UACACCAAUGAUGAGUAUUCUGAGAUGUCUGAAUCCAGGAUUUUGAUUAAGCUCUGUAACUUUGAGGUCCAU